ensembl:lncRNA
CAUAUAUUGUUGCAAAGCCAUUAUGACAAAGAAGAAGGUACAUUUGACAACUAUUUUUAUGUAGCUCUACCUGAGGCUUCUCGACAGCCGGAGAAGUGUGCUGCCCCCUCCUGGUGAAUCCAUGUCCGCUGCUGACAUCGUAUUUGACAUAAGUAUUGUGUCUCUGAGCUGUAGUUGUCCUCAGUGGAUGACAGGACCACAGACAUCAGAGUGACCUGGGGGUGUGACGGUGAAACAAGCUCAUCAAGAGUGAAAGGUGGCAUCAUCUUAAAAUAAGCAGUCUCAAACCUGAUGAAAAGUACCAGUUCAACAUGGCUACAGAGGGAGAAGACAGAAGCCAAAGCAGAUGGAGCUCAGCAUCCCUAUCCACAGUGGUCCCACCCAGAGUUUUAAAGAUAGACCAUUUGGAAGAGACCUCCUUCACUCUCCACUGGUCCAAGGCUGAAGGGAUGGAGAAAGUCCCACAGCGCUUCUUCAUAUCCAACUGCAUCCCAGGAAUAGACCCCCUCACAGCCGUUACUGACGACUGCCACAAAACUUUCUCAAACCUGCAUCCUGGCACCGAGUACACUGUUAGUGUUGCAACUGUGCUGAGCAAUGGGGAACAGAGUGAACCUGUCUCUACAACAYUCUGCACUAGUAAGAGAUCUUCCCCRAAUUACAGCUCAUCAUCUCUUUACCACUAAAGCCUCUCUCCAACCUUUUAUCCAGUCGCUCCUUUCUGGGGAGUUUCCCAUUGCUUGGAAGACAGCCACGCUUUGUCCUUUAUUUAAAGGAGAUCAAGCUGAUCCUAACUGUUAUAGGCCUAUUUCUAUUUUGUGCUGUUUAUCAGAAGUGUUGGAAAAACUUGUCAAUAAUCAGCUGACUGACUUUCUUGAUGUCUGUAGUAUCCUCUGGUAUGCAAUCUGCUUUCCGCUCAGGUUAUAGAUGUGUCACUGCAACCUUAAUGAUGUCACCAUUGCCCUUGAUUCUAAGCAAUGUUGUGCAGCCAUAUUUUUUGACUUGGCCAAAGCUUUGGAUACGGUAGACCAUUCCAUUCUUGUGGGCCGGCUAAGGAGAAUUGGUGUCUCCGAGGAGUCUUUGGCCUGGUUUGCUAACUACCUCUCUCAAAGAGUGCAGUGUAUAAAGUCAGAACAGCUUUCUCUACCCUUAACCUUGUUCUGAACAUCUCCAAAACAAAGGUCAUGUGUUUUGAUAAGAAGAAUGCCCCUCUCCCCACAGGUGUCAAGCUCUCAAGCUCUAAACCCUCAGAGGUAGUAGUCACCUCAUACAAGUCCUUAGGAGUAUUGCUAGCCGGUAUACUGUCCUUCUCUCAGCACAUAUCAAAGCUGCAGGCUAAAGUUAAAUCUAGACUUGGUUAAAUCUAGACUUAGUUUCCUCUGUCGUAAUCGCUCCUCUUUCACCCCAGCUGCCAAACUAACCCUGAUUCAGAUGACCAUCCUACCCAUGCUAGAUUACGGAGACAUAAUUUAUAGAUCGGCAGGCAAGGGUGGUCUCGAGCGGCUAGAUAUGCUCUACCAUUCGGCCAUCAGAUUUGCCACCAAUACUCCUUACAGGACACAUCACUGCACUCUAUACUCCUCUGUAAACUGGUCAUCUCUGUAUACCUGUCUCAAUGCUUAUUUAUAAAACCCUCUUAGACCUCACUCCCCCCCCCUCCCUAGCUGAGAUAUCUACUGCAGCCCUCAUCUCCCACAUACAACACCUGUUCUGCCAGUCACAUUCUGUUAAAUGUCCCCAAAGCACACACAUCCCUGGGUCACUCCUAUUUUCAGUUCGCUGCAGCUAGUGACUGGAAUGAGCUGCAACAAACACUCAAACUGGUAUCUUCAAUCAAAGACUCAGUCAUGGACACUCUUACUGACAGUUGUGGCUGAUUUCUGUGAUGUAUUGUUGUCUCUACCUUCUUGCCCUUUGUGCUGUUGUCUGUGCCCAAUAAUGUUUGUACCAUGUUGUAUUACUACCAUGCUGUGUUGCCAUGUGUUGCUGCUUUGCUAUGUUGUCUUAGGUCUCUCUUUAUGUAGUGUUGUCUCUCUUUAUGCAGUGUUGUCUCUCUUUAUGUAGUGGUCUCUCUUUAUGCAGUGUGGUCUCUCUUUAUGCAGUGUGGUCUCUCUUUAUGCAGUGUUGUCUCUCUUUAUGCAGUGUUGUCUCUCUUUAUGCAGUGUUGUCUCUCUUUAUGCAGUGUUGUCUCUCUUUAUGUAGUGGUCUCUCUUUAUGUAGUGUUGUCUCUCUUUAUGCAGUGUUGUCUCUCUUUAUGCAGUGUUGUCUCUCUUUAUGCAGUGUUGUCUCUCUUUAUGCAGUGUUGUCUCUCUUUAUGCAGUGUUGUCUCUCCUUUCUGUAGUGUUGUCUCUCUUUAGAGUGGUGUCUCUCUUUAUGCAGUGGUGUCUCUCUUUAUGCAGUGGUGUCUCUCUUUAUGCAGUGUGUCUUUUUAUGCAGUGUUGUCUCUCUUUAUGCAGUGUUGUCUCUCUUUAUGCAGUGUUGUUGUCUCUCUUAUGUAGUGGUGUCUCUCUUUAUCAGUGUUUGUCUCUCUUUAGCAGUGU